rnacentral:rRNA from 1 species
CAAGUCUGGUGCCAGCAGCCGCGGUAAUUCCAGCUCCAAUAGCGUAUAUUAAAGUUGUUGCAGUUAAAAAGCUCGUAGUUGAAUUUCGGGAUCAAUAUUUCGGUCAUGCCGUUGGUAUGCACUGUUAUCAUUGAUUUCUCACCUUCUAAAGAACCGUAAUGCCAUUAAUUUGGUGUUACGGGGAAUUAGGACUGUUACCUUGAAAAAAUUAGAGUGUUUAAAGCAGGC